GUACACAGAAACACUAUAUGAAGAACUGAGAAACAAGAAUGCUCCACUUAUUGCUGAAAACGAAGAGCUGAGUCACGAAAACAAGCUACUGGAGGAAGAACUGGCGAGACUUGAAAGUGAACCGUCAAAGCUUGAAGCAUUAGUGGAACAAAAGAGAACACUAGAGCUCGACAAGACUAAAUUCGACACCUACAUCACUGAUCUCGAGAAGCAUCGUCUCAAACUUGAGGAAAGAAAAAUUCAGAACGAAGAAGAAUUGAAUGAUCUCAAUCUGGAGUACACAGCAACAUCAAGAGAGAAAGAGCAGUUGGAGGUUUUGCACAGUUGAUCAAUAUUCUUAUCUUUUACUGUAUUGCAGGCUUUUAUCGUAUGAAUCAAGAAGGUUUUCGUUCUUUCGUUGGAAUUUUUAGAAAGUGCUUGCAAAGCAAGAC